CCUAGGGAGGCAGCAGUGGGGAAUAUUGCACAAUGGGCGCAAGCCUGAUGCAGCCAUGCCGCGUGUGUGAAGAAGGCCUUCGGGUUGUAAAGCACUUUCAGCGGGGAGGAAGGCAUUAAGGUUAAUAACCUUAGUGAUUGACGUUACCCGCAGAAGAAGCACCGGCUAACUCCGUGCCAGCAGCCGCGGUAAU
rnacentral:rRNA from 1 species